UGUCUGCCGGUGGCUGUGGUAAAGACUGUCUGCCGGUGGCUGUGGUAAAGACUGUCUGCCGGUGGCUGUGGUAAAGACUGUCUGCCGGUGGCUGAGGUAAAGACUGUCUGCCGGUGGCUGUGGUAGAGACUGUCUGCCGGUGGCUGUGGUAGAGACUGUCUGCCGGUGGCUGUGGUAAAGACUGUCUGCCGGUGGCUGUGGUAAAGACUGUCUGCCGGUGGCUGAGGUAAAGACUGUCUGCCGGUGGCUGAGGUAAAGACUGUCUGCCGGUGGCUGUGAUAGAGACUGUCUGCCGGUGGCUGUGGUAAAGACUGUCUGCCGGUGGCUGUGGUAGAGACUGUCUGCCGGUGGCUGUGGUAAAGACUGUCUGCCGGUGGCUGUGGUAAAGACUGUCUGCCGGUGGCUGAGGUAAAGACUGUCUGCCGGUGGCUGUGGUAGAGACUGUCUGCCGGUGGCUGAGGUAAAGACUGUCUGCCGGUGGCUGUGGUAGAGACUGUCUGCCGGUGGCUGUGGUAGAGACUGUCUGCCGGUGGCUGUGGUAAAGACUGUCUGCCGGUGGCUGUGGUAAAGACUGUCUGCCGGUGGCUGUGGUAAAGACUGUCUGCCGGUGGCUGUGGUAAAGACUGUCUGCCGGUGGCUGAGGUAAAGACUGUCUGCCGGUGGCUGAGGUAAAGACAGUCUGCUAUGUCAAGAGAAGUUAACUAUAAUGGGAAUACAGCAGCGUUUGGGUGAAGUACUUUGUUCUUGUUGAGAUAAUAGCAAUAUGAAACCAGACCAGUCCAUGUCAUCCUGUUCUGGUCCACACCCCGAGUGGCCCCUUUCUGACAGUUGAAUUUAUUUAAAUACCCAUUGUGUUCUGUGGGGCACUACUUCAGGCCAGAGGACUCUGACGAGUGGCAGAGCUGGUUAAAAGUAGUCCACUAGCUACACGGUGAGUAGGAUGGUAGUUUGGGAUGCACAGCUUACUCAUCAUGCUGUUUCCUCAUUUAGAUUGCUGGAAGGAAUUGAUCAUGCACUUUAUUGUGUCAGGAACAAGAAGGAUGGUCACUGGAACACACAAACAAACCGAAGGCUUCAUGGUCAGCAGAAUGUGACCGUCUGCAUC